GAUGAACGCUAGCGGGAGGCUUAACACAUGCAAGCCGAGGGGUAUAGUUCUUUCGGGAACUAGAGACCGGCGCACGGGUGCGUAACGCGUAUGCAACUUGCCCUACUGAAAAGGAUAGCCCUUCGAAAGGAGGAUUAAUACUUUAUAACAGAUUUAAUGGCAUCAUUAGAUUUUGAAAGAUUUAUCGCAUUAGGAUAGGCAUGCGUAAGAUUAGUUAGUUGGUGAGGUAACGGCUCACCAAGACGAUGAUCUUUAGGGGGCCUGAGAGGGUGAACCCCCACACUGGUACUGAGACACGGACCAGAAUCCUACGGGAGGCAGCAGUGAGGAAUAUUGGACAAUGGGUGGAAGCCUGAUCCAGCCAUCCCGCGUGUAGGAUGACGGCCUUAUGAGUUGUAAACUACUUUUAUAUGGGGAUAAACCUACUUACGUGUAAGUAGCUGAAGGUACCAGAAGAAUAAGCACCGGCUAACUCCGUG
rnacentral:rRNA from 1 species